UACGUAGGGGCCGAGCGUUGUCCGGAGUUACUGGGCGUAAAGCGCGCGCAGGCGGCUCGUCAAGCCUGACGUGAAAGCCCCCGGCUCAACCGGGGAGGGUCGUCGGGGACUGGCGGGCUUGAGGUCGGCAGGGGUUGGUGGAAUUCCCGGUGUAGUGGUGAAAUGCGUAGAGAUCGGGAGGAACACCCGUGGCGAAGGCGGCCAACUGGGCCGGACCUGACGCUGAGACGCGAAGGCGUGGGGAGCGAACGGG
rnacentral:rRNA from 1 species